rnacentral:sRNA from 1 species
AUGUAUCCGCGGACACUCCGGUUCCUCCGCGCCGUUCGCACCCACCUGGCGACUGCUUGCUCCGUUGUGUUACCC